UAAGGUUGUGUACCUCUAAAUUAUCCUGAUUAACUUUUCCAGUCAGCAGGUACUUAAAAUUGAAUUUGUCAAUCAGAUAUUUGCAAAGGUCCAUCGUCGAUCGAAGAGAUAUUCUCAGUCCUUUUGAAGUUUCAACAGUGUGGGUUUCCGGAAAAGCUAGGUAGGAUUUAUUUUCAUGCAACACAGGAUCUCCGAGAUUAAAGUGCCUCCGGAAUUGCUAAUAAGCAUAAGAUCUUUUAACUCACCCGCAAUUUUCUUUUGUUGUACAACCGGUUUCGGACGUUCUUGACGAGGUGGCAGACAUCGGAAAAGACAAAUACUUUCCGUUUGUCGUCCAAGGGCACCGUCGGCAACAACACCAUGGAUCAUCGCUCCGCAUUGUUCCAAAUAGCAAAUAGCUUUAAUGACAAUUUUCGCGAGCUCUUCUCCUUUUA